rnacentral:rRNA from 1 species
AAAUUGAAGAGUUUGAUCAUGGCUCAGAUUGAACGCUGGCGGCAGGCCUAACACAUGCAAGUCGAACGGUAACAGAAAGCAGCUUGCUGCUUUGCUGACGAGUGGCGGACGGGUGAGUAAUGUCUGGGAAACUGCCUGAUGGAGGGGGAUAACUACUGGAAACGGUAGCUAAUACCGCAUAACGUCGCAAGACCAAAGAGGGGGACCUUAGGGCCUCUUGCCAUCGGAUGUGCCCAGAUGGGAUUAGCUAGUAGGUGGGGUAAAGGCUCACCUAGGCGACGAUCCCUAGCUGGUCUGAGAGGAUGACCAGCCACACUGGAACUGAGACACGGUCCAGACUCCUACGGGAGGCAGCAGUGGGGAAUAUUGCACAAUGGGCGCAAGCCUGAUGCAGCCAUGCCGCGUGUAUGAAGAAGGCCUUCGGGUUGUAAAGUACUUUCAGCGGGGAGGAAGGGAGUAAAGUUAAUACCUUUGCUCAUUGACGUUACCCGCAGAAGAAGCACCGGCUAACUCCGUGCCAGCAGCCGCGGUAAUACGGAGGGUGCAAGCGUUAAUCGGAAUUACUGGGCGUAAAGCGCACGCAGGCGGUUUGUUAAGUCAGAUGUGAAAUCCCCGGGCUCAACCUGGGAACUGCAUCUGAUACUGGCAAGCUUGAGUCUCGUAGAGGGGGGUAGAAUUCCAGGUGUAGCGGUGAAAUGCGUAGAGAUCUGGAGGAAUACCGGUGGCGAAGGCGGCCCCCUGGACGAAGACUGACGCUCAGGUGCGAAAGCGUGGGGAGCAAACAGGAUUAGAUACCCUGGUAGUCCACGCCGUAAACGAUGUCGACUUGGAGGUUGUGCCCUUGAGGCGUGGCUUCCGGAGCUAACGCGUUAAGUCGACCGCCUGGGGAGUACGGCCGCAAGGUUAAAACUCAAAUGAAUUGACGGGGGCCCGCACAAGCGGUGGAGCAUGUGGUUUAAUUCGAUGCAACGCGAAGAACCUUACCUGGUCUUGACAUCCACAGAACUUUCCAGAGAUGGAUUGGUGCCUUCGGGAACUGUGAGACAGGUGCUGCAUGGCUGUCGUCAGCUCGUGUUGUGAAAUGUUGGGUUAAGUCCCGCAACGAGCGCAACCCUUAUCCUUUGUUGCCAGCGGUCCGGCCGGGAACUCAAAGGAGACUGCCAGUGAUAAACUGGAGGAAGGUGGGGAUGACGUCAAGUCAUCAUGGCCCUUACGACCAGGGCUACACACGUGCUACAAUGGCGCAUACAAAGAGAAGCGACCUCGCGAGAGCAAGCGGACCUCAUAAAGUGCGUCGUAGUCCGGAUUGGAGUCUGCAACUCGACUCCAUGAAGUCGGAAUCGCUAGUAAUCGUGGAUCAGAAUGCCACGGUGAAUACGUUCCCGGGCCUUGUACACACCGCCCGUCACACCAUGGGAGUGGGUUGCAAAAGAAGUAGGUAGCUUAACCUUCGGGAGGGCGCUUACCACUUUGUGAUUCAUGACUGGGGUGAAGUCGUAACAAGGUAACCGUAGGGGAACCUGCGGUUGGAUCACCUCCUUACCUUAAAGAAGC